AUUGAACGCUGGCGGCAGGCCUAACACAUGCAAGUCGAACGAGUGGCGGACGGGUGAGUACUGUCUGGGAAACUGCCUGAUGGAGGGGGAUAACUACUGGAAACGGUAGCUAAUACCGCAUACCAUCGGAUGUGCCCAGAUGGGAUUAGCUAGUAGGUGGGGUAACGGCUCACCUAGGCGACGAUCCCUAGCUGGUCUGAGAGGAUGACCAGCAACACUGGAAUGGAGACACGGUCCAGACUCAUACGGGAGGCAGCAGUGGGGAAUAUGGCACAAUGGGCGAAAGCCUGAUGCAGCCAUGCCGCGUGUAUGAAGAAGGCCUUCGGGUUGUAAAGUACUUUCAGCGGGGAGGCGUUACCCGCAGAAGAAGCACCGGCUAACGCCGUGCCAGCCGCCGCGGUAAUUC
rnacentral:rRNA from 1 species